GGCAGAACGAGAAAGCAAUAAAAGACAACACACACAGGAAGAAGGUCUCUCUCUCAGGGGAAGGAUAACAGCGAGUGGUAUGCUAAAGGUAGUCGUGGCUUUUGUUCUGAUUUCUUAGGCUUUAACUCUGUAUUUGGUUCUGUGUUUCUUAUUUAAUAAGACUGUUUAGAAUUUCGUCUACAGUCAAUUGCAUAUCUUCCUGGCAAAAAUGGGAUCUGGGCUCAAGGGCACGGCCAUCCUGUCAGUAACCACAAGGAAGGAUGUUCUGCAAUGUGGGAAGGAAGAAGGCAGAAUCAUGAAAGAAGUUGCUGGUCACAAGGAGGUGGAGAUGGGAAGGUCCUCCUCCAUCUGUCCUCCACAUGAGAAAACUCAGGGGUUGUGGGCCCCUUGACCCCAAUUCUUCCUGACUCCUGAGCACCCCAGGGUCCCUGCACAGGGCUCCUCUCCUUCCUGAUGGCUCUGCUGGUCUCACUUCCUGGAGGGAAUCAGGCCAUCACUUGGAUCCUGCUUCUGCUGAUGUCAGCUGCAUGGCUGCAAGGUGGUAACUCAGCAGGAUCCAAGAAUAAAAGUACCUUUGGAGUCAACCAACCAACAAACCUCUCCAGUGUCCAGGGCGGCUCCAUCGAGAUCCCCUUCUCCUUCUCCUUCCCCUGGGAGAUGGCACAGAAUCCACAGAUGAGGAUUCUCUGGAAAUGGCAACACCUCCUUGGGGAAUUUAUCUACAACUCCUCCUCAGGUUACAUACAUGAGCAUUUCAAGAACCGGCUCUUCCUGAACUGGACACAGCCUCAGACAUCCGGAGUCCUGAGAAUCCUGGACUUGAAGGAGAAGGACCAGACAGUGUACUUUUGCCAAGUUCAACUGAACACAACAGAAGGCAUGAAGGGUUUGCAGUCAAUUGCAGGGACCCAGCUGACCAUCACCCAUGGCAUCAGCACCACCAUGCAGAGCCCCUCCAUCAUCACCUCUGCAGUCACCACAGCUGGCCUGGAGGACACAGAGGGCCAGAGGAAUCCUUCACUUGUGAACCUGGGAGCCACGGUCGGGGUGGUUUUGGCCACGGCUGUGCUCAUAACCCCCAUCUGUGUAUUGAUGAUCUUCCUCUGGAGGAAGAAAAGGCCAGCAGACUAAAGAUGAACCCCAGCCAUGGAGAGCCUGUCAUCCCAAGGAGCAGCUGAGGGCUGUGUGGGGAAGUUUGUUAUGAGAGGCAUCCAAGGGAGAAGAGAGAUGAUUCAGUCAGAAAAGCCUUGCACAUAGGCAGGAGGACCUGAGCUUGAACUGGAGAACCCACAUUAUAAGCCAGUGGGGUGGCAAGAAUUGUAAUCUCCUUGCUGGACAAGCAAGAGCCUUUCAGAAACAUGGGGGUUGGCUGUUCAGAUACUCCAGCCAAAUUGGGAUCCAAAUGGUACAAGAAGAAAACUGACUGGAAAAUUGUCCUCCUCCUCUCUGGGUCAUCCACAGGCACCUGCUGAGACAUUGUCUGUUAGUUCCCAGCUAACAGACUCCAGGGUCCAGGAUCUCUCACCAGGGAGGUCCCUUUACAUCAUGUGGUUGUCACACAUGCAGCAUCUCCCCACUUCCCUGCCUCCUGCCUGGGAAUCAGGGAGCAUGGCUGCAGGCUUGUGUGUGAAACAUCCUGUCCUUGGACAAGUACAAGAAGAGAACCCCCACUUCUGCCCUGUGGGCUCUGAUGUCCUCCCAUCAGAACACGUGUCAAUUUGUCUGUCUCUGGUCCUGAGAGCCCUACUGUGCUGUUUCCUGUGUCUAUGCAAUCAAUAACACUUUCUAAUAAAUAUCUUACUCCCAGCAAUCCA